GGUGAGUAACACGUGGGUAACCUGCCUGUAAGACUGGGAUAACUCCGGGAAACCGGGGCUAAUACCGGAUGCUUGAUUGAACCGCAUGGUUCCAAUCAUAAAAGGUGGCUUUUAGCUACCACUUACAGAUGGACCCGCGGCGCAUUAGCUAGUUGGUGAGGUAACGGCUCACCAAGGCGACGAUGCGUAGCCGACCUGAGAGGGUGAUCGGCCACACUGGGACUGAGACACGGCCCAGACUCCUACGGGAGGCAGCAGUAGGGAAUCUUCCGCAAUGGACGAAAGUCUGACGGAGCAACGCCGCGUGAGUGAUGAAGGUUUUCGGAUCGUAAAACUCUGUUGUUAGGGAAGAACAAGUACCGUUCGAAUAGGGCGGCACCUUGACGGUACCUAACCAGAAAGCCACGGCUAACUACGUGCCAGCAGCCGCGGUAAUACGUAGGUGGCAAGCGUUGUCCGGAAUUAUUGGGCGUAAAGCGCGCGCAGGCGGUUUCUUAAGUCUGAUGUGAAAGCCCCCGGCUCAACCGGGGAGGGUCAUUGGAAACUGGGGAACUUGAGUGCAGAAGAGGAGAGUGGAAUUCCACGUGUAGCGGUGAAAUGCGUAGAGAUGUGGAGGAACACCAGUGGCGAAGGCGACUCUCUG
rnacentral:rRNA from 1 species